ACGUAGGUGUCAAGCGUUGUUCGGAUUUAUUGGGCGUAAAGGGUCCGCAGGUGGCCUGACAAGUCUGAUGUGAAAUCCCGGAGCUCAAUUCCGGAACUGCAUUGGAAACUGUUGGGCUCGAGUACCGGAGAGGAGAUUGGAAUUCCAGGUGUAGCGAUAAAAUGCGUAGAUAUCUGGAAGAACACCGAAAGUGAAGACAGAUCUCUGGACGGCUACUGACACUCAGGGACGAAAGCAUGGGGAGCAAACAG
rnacentral:rRNA from 1 species